GCCGUAACUAUAACGGUCCUAAGGUAGCGAAAUUCCUUGUCGGGCAAGUUCCGACCUGCACGAAUGGCAUAACGAUGGCCACACUGUCUCCUCCUGAGACUCAGUGAAGUUGAAGUGUUUGUGAUGAUGCAAUCUCCCCGCGGCUAGACGGAAAGACCCCAUGAACCUUUACUGUAGCUUUGCAUUGGACUUUGAACCGAUCUGUGUAGGAUAGGCGGGAGCCUGUGAAACCACAACGCCAGUUGUGGCGGAGGCGUCCUUGAAAUACCGCCCUGAUUUGUUUGAGGUUCUAACCUGGGACAGUUAUCCUGUCCGGGGACCGUGCAUGGUAGGCAGUUUGACUGGGGCGGUCUCCUCCUAAAGGGUAACGGAGGAGUGCGAAGGUACGCUAGGUACGGUCGGAAAUCGUGCUGAUAGUGCAAUGGCAAAAGCGUGCUUGACUGCGAGACCCACAAGUCGAGCAGAUACGAAAGUAGGUCAUAGUGAUCCGGUGGCUCUGUAUGGAAGGGCCAUCGCUCAACGGAUAAAAGGUACUCUGGGGAUAACAGGCUGAUACCGCCCAAGAGUUCAUAUCGACGGCGGUGUUUGGCACCUCGAUGUCGGCUCAUCUCAUCCUGGGGCUGUAGCCGGUCCCAAGGGUAUGGCUGUUCGCCAUUUAAAGAGGUACGUGAGCUGGGUUUAAAACGUCGUGAGACAGUUUUGUCCCUAUCUGCCGUGGGCGCUGGAAGAUUGACGGGGGCUGCUCCUAGUACGAGAGGACCGGAGUGGACUCACCUCUGGUGUACCGGUUGUCACGCCAGUGGCAUCGCCGGGUAGCUAUGUGGGGAAGAGAUAACCGCUGAAAGCAUCUAAGCGGGAAACUUGCCUGAAGAUAAGUCUUCCUGGAGGCUAGACCUCCCUAAAGAGUCGUUCGAGACCAGGACGUUGAUAGGAUGGGUGUGUAAGUGCUGUGAGGCACUCAGCUAACCAUUACUAAUUGCUCGUGAAGCUUGAUCCU
rnacentral:rRNA from 1 species